rnacentral:rRNA from 1 species
GACGAACGCUGGCGGCGUGCUUAACACAUGCAAGUCGAACGAAGAGCGAUGGAAGCUUGCUUCUAUCAAUCUUAGUGGCGAACGGGUGAGUAACGCGUAAUCAACCUGCCCUUCAGAGGGGGACAACAGUUGGAAACGACUGCUAAUACCGCAUACGAUCUAAUCUCGGCAUCGAGGAUAGAUGAAAGGUGGCCUCUACAUGUAAGCUAUCACUGAAGGAGGGGAUUGCGUCUGAUUAGCUAGUUGGGGGGGUAAGGGCCCACCAAGGCGAUGAUCAGUAGCCUGGCUGAGAGGAUGAACGGCCACAUUGGGACUGAGACACGGCCCAGACUCCUACGGGAGGCAGCAGUGGGGAAUCUUCCGCAAUGGACGAAAGUCUGACGGAGCAACGCCGCGUGAGGGAUGACGGCCUUCGGGUUGUAAAGCUCUGUUAAUCGGGACGAAAGGCCUUCUUGCGAAUAGUGAGAAGGAUUGACGGUACCGGAAUAGAAAGCCACGGCUAACUACGUG